GUAAUGCUUAGGAAUCUGCCUAUUAGUGGGGGACAACAUCUCGAAAGGGAUGCUAAUACCGCAUACGUCCUACGGGAGAAAGCAGGGGACCUUCGGGCCUUGCGCUAAUAGAUGAGCCUAAGUCGGAUUAGCUAGUUGGUGGGGUAAAGGCCUACCAAGGCGACGAUCUGUAGCGGGUCUGAGAGGAUGAUCCGCCACACUGGGACUGAGACACGGCCCAGACUCCUACGGGAGGCAGCAGAGGGGAAUAUUGGACAAUGGGGGGAACCCUGAUCCAGCCAUGCCGCGUGUGUGAAGAAGGCCUUUUGGUUGUAAAGCACUUUAAGCGAGGAGGAGGCUACCGAGAUUAAUACUCUUGGAUAGUGGACGUUACUUGCAGAAUAAGCACCGGCUAACUCUGUGCCAGCAGCCGCGGUAAUACAGAGGGUGCAAGCGUUAAUCGGAUUUACUGGGCGUAAAGCGCGCGUAGGUGGCCAAUUAAGUCAAAUGUGAAAUCCCCGAGCUUAACUUGGGAAUUGCAUUCGAUACUGGUUGGCUAGAGUAUGGGAGAGGAUGGUAGAAUUCCAGGUGUAGCGGUGAAAUGCGUAGAGAUCUGGAGGAAUACCGAUGGCGAAGGCAGCCAUCUGGCCUAAUACUGACACUGAGGUG
rnacentral:rRNA from 1 species